AUCUGCUUACCCUUCUGGAGCACAUGAGAUCACCCUAGUUUUUGGUGGGGUUCGUGUUGCUUAUUCUUAAGGGUUCGAUGUUUUAAAUGUUUAAUAUUAAAAGGGAUGUAUUACAUGUAUCAUUGUCAAAUGCGAAUAACAAUGCCCUAUCUUUGACAUCAUAGUUCAUUAUUUAAGAAGAGGACGAAAGAUACCAGAGGGACAGUCAAACUCA
rnacentral:lncRNA from 1 species